GCUAGCGUAGCUUAAAUAAAGCAUAGCAUUGAAGAUGCUAAGACGGGCCCUAGAAAGCUCCGCAUGCA
rnacentral:tRNA from 1 species